rfam:Myotis davidii contig61976, whole genome shotgun sequence.
GGUGGUUUUCAGGUGACACACCCUGGAAUCAGGUUCCCUCCUCUCUGGUUCCGGGUGUAUCAACUGAGAAAUGCA